UGGACACGGUCCCCAACCGUCGGGAAUGACCCGUGGCAUCGCACGACUCGUCGGUUUCUCUUUAAGAAAGAGAUUGGAGAUUUUGGCCAGCCAUCACUCAUCAGAAUAUCAGAUUCCAGUGUGACCACCAGACCACAGCUCACCCCCUCCAGGCAGCCGGCGGACAUCGGUUUUAGAGAGAGAAACUGAGUGAAAAUCUGCUGCUACUCGCCAAGUUCGUUGCUCUCUGCUCCGUCAGGGUCUGAAGCCACAACGGUUGCAGCCGGUGGGGGUGGUUUUUUCGCGAUGAGGUGGUGGCGCAAGAUGGUGGUUCCUAUGCGGAGAAUUUGGAUCGUUGUCGCCAAGGGUGUUGGGAUUCGCAAAACUGGACUAGUGAAGCUUCGGCAAGAAGUGAGGACUUGCGAGUACCAGGAUGUCCAUGUGCUAUGGGAAAUGCUGAAUAGAAAUGAAACAGAGCUAGCUGGUUCCAAAACCAAGAACAGACAAUUCUGGAGCAUCUCCGAUUGGGCAAGGCGGCGCACUCCGUAUCUUUCUCGCAGCUUCUGAUCAUUAUGUUUGAUCCUCAAUUUGUGCCCCCUUUUUGUGUAUUACAAUCUUUCAUUUGCUGUGAAGACCGAAGAGAAUAACAACAGAGAAGCUCCUGCAUGAAGUGGUUGCUUUGAUUUCGUACUAAAUCUACCAUCUGUAUAAUUCUUUUGUUUUUA